UCCCCGGGAGGAGUAUGAGAUCCUGUGUGUGAGAAAAAAAGAAGGUGAAGGGCAGAGAUCCAACCUGGGCUCUCGUGAAACCUGGAUCUAUGGGAUUUACGUAAAUGUGAACAGGCUGCACCGGGCUCACAGAUUGGCUGUGUAGAAGUGGUCUCUGUCGUUCAGAUGUUGGGAGGUAACAGUGAGCUUUAACUAAUUACACCUCAGAUCACCCCCAGGAGGCAACCUGCGGCCAAUAAGAUUCUAAAGGGAAGGAGUCAACAUUCAUCUUGACGCUUUCAGUAUCGGCUGUCAUGAAGUGGC